rnacentral:rRNA from 1 species
CAGCCGCCGCGGUAAUACAGAGGGUGCAAGCGUUAAUCGGAAUUACUGGGCGUAAAGCGCGCGUAGGUGGUUUGUUAAGUUGGAUGUGAAAUCCCCGGGCUCAACCUGGGAACUGCAUCCAAAACUGGCAAGCUAGAGUAUGGUAAAGGGUGGUGGAAUUUCCUGUGUAGCGGUGAAAUGCGUAGAUAUAGGAAGGAACACCAGUGGCGAAGGCGACCACCUGGACUGAUACUGACACUGAGGUGCGAAAGCGUGGGGAGCAAACAGGAUUAGAUACCCCGGUAGUCCCUGUCUCUUAUAC